rnacentral:lncRNA from 1 species
UAUGAGGUAAAUAUUAAUUGUACUAUUCUAAUCGAUUAUUUUCUUUAAUAAUUUUUCUCUUCGAUUUUCAAAGGUACAGUGGCUCGGGAUGUAAUUCCUUCGUAUGGUUUGAUUCCCCAGCUCUAGAGCACUUGAAAAUUGUGAUCUUGGUACUGCUUAAGAAGAAGAGGGUGUUCAAUACAUUAUUGAAGAAAAAUAUAAUCAAAUAAAUUGGAGGAGAUUGUGUGUAUUGAUUUUAAUUGUAAUUAUAUUGAGGUUG